rnacentral:rRNA from 1 species
UGGGGAAUUUUGGACAAUGGGCGAAAGCCUGAUCCAGCAAUGCCGCGUGUGUGAAGAAGGCCUUCGGGUUGUAAAGCACUUUUGUCCGGAAAGAAAUCCUUGGCUCUAAUACAGUCGGGGGAUGACGGUACCGGAAGAAUAAGCACCGGCUAACUACGUGCCAGCAGCCGCGGUAAUACGUAGGGUGCAAGCGUUAAUCGGAAUUACUGGGCGUAAAGCGUGCGCAGGCGGUUUGCUAAGACCGAUGUGAAAUCCCCGGGCUCAACCUGGGAACUGCAUUGGUGACUGGCAGGCUAGAGUAUGGCAGAGGGGGGUAGAAUUCCACGUGUAGCAGUGAAAUGCGUAGAGAUGUGGAGGAAUACCGAUGGCGAAGGCAGCCCCCUGGGCCAAUACUGACGCUCAUGCACGAAAGCGUGGGGAGCAAACAGGAUUAGAUACCCUGGUAGUCCACGCCCUAAACGAUGUCAACUAGUUGU